GUCAAGAUGGCCGAGUGGUUAAGGCACCAGACUUAAGUUCUGGUCUUCGACGAAUGCGUGGGUUCAAUCCCCACUCUUGACA
rnacentral:tRNA from 1 species